ensembl:lncRNA
CUUGUGUUCAGUGUCUCCUGUUGGAUUAUUAAAGACUCAUUUUGUGAAAUCUCCAUGUUUCCUCGUUCCCUUGCUCCAGCAUAUCAUGACAGUGUAAACUUCUGGAGUGCUGCAUCAGUGGACAAACUGACUUAUGGUCUUAAGCUACAAGUUGACAAGUAUCCGCAAGAACAGUGAGUCGCCAAGGACUUUCCUUUUCUUAAUUAUGAUGACGCAUUUGGUGGUGUGCCAGAGAAGCACUUUCCUGUGCCACGGAGCAUCUUUAUUUUCUACCAUCUACAAGAGCUGCAGAAGGGGUCCCUGUGCUCUCGGGGGACUGUAACACCAUUUAUUCCUGAUUCUUUUAAGAUUUCAGAGCAC